CCUACGGGAGGCAGCAGUGAGGAAUAUUGGUCAAUGGACGAGAGUCUGAACCAGCCAAGUAGCGUGAAGGAUGACUGCCCUAUGGGUUGUAAACUUCUUUUAUAUGGGAAUAAAAUGUUCCACGUGUGGGAUUUUGUAUGUACCAUAUGAAUAAGGAUCGGCUAACUCCGUGCCAGCAGCCGCGGUAAGACGGAGGAUCCGAGCGUUAUCCGGAUUGAUUGGGUUUAAAGGGAGCGUAGGUGGAUUGUUAAGUCAGUUGUGAAAGUUUGCGGCUCAACCGUAAAAUUGCAGUUGAAACUGGCAGUCUUGAGUACAGUAGAGGUGGGCGGAAUGCGUGGUGUAGCGGUGAAAUGCUUAGAUAUCACGAAGAACUCCGAUUGCGAAGGCAGCUCACUGGACUGCAACUGACACUGAGGCUCGAAAGUGUGGGUAUCAAACAGGAUUAGAUACCCCUGUAGUC
rnacentral:rRNA from 1 species